UACGGGGGGAGCAAGCGUUGUUCGGAUUUACUGGGCGUAAAGGGCGCGUAGGCGGCGCAACAAGUCACUUGUGAAAUCUCCGGGCUUAACUCGGAAAGGUCAAGUGAUACUGUUGUGCUAGAGUGCGGAAGGGGCAACUGGAAUUCUCGGUGUAGCGGUGAAAUGCGUAGAUAUCGAGAGGAACACCUGCGGUGAAGGCGGUUGCCUGGAGCUUUGCUGACGCUGAUGCGCGAAAGCGUGGGGAGCGAUCCGG
rnacentral:rRNA from 1 species